rnacentral:lncRNA from 1 species
UAAGAUUCUAUAUUUGAAUUUAGAGUAAUUGGAUACAAGUUGAAAGAAAUAAACGUAGAAGUACUUGAAAGGAUAAAGGAAAUAAAGAAAAACUACAAAAGUAAAGCAAUUUGGUAAUGAAUACUUAAAAUUAAGAGUGAAACGCAAGUUCAUACAUUUCUCAUAAAAUCUUUAUCUUUGUGACUCGGAAGUGUAAAUUCUACAAGAAAUAAAAUGAAAUGUGAACCAUUUUUAAAAAACGAAGACUACUUAUAUACUAUGU